ensembl:snRNA Gm26442 predicted gene, 26442
AUACUUCCCUGGCAGGGGAGGUACCAUGAUCACAAAGGUGGUUUUCCCAGGGAGAGGCUUAUCCACUGCACCCCUGUGAUUUCCCAAAAUUCAGGAAACUCAACUGCAUAAUUUGUGGUGGGGGGUAGGAGGCUGCAUUCACACUCUCCCCUG